UACAGAGGGUGCGAGCGUUGUUCGGAAUUAUUGGGCGUAAAGGGCGCGUAGGCGGUGCGGUAAGUCACCUGUGAAAUCUCCUGGCUCAACUGGGAGCUUGCAGGCGAAACUGCCGUGCUGGAGUGUGGCAGAGGGGGGUGGAAUUCCGCGUGUAGCAGUGAAAUGCGUAGAGAUGCGGAGGAACACCGAUGGCGAAGGCAGCCCCCUGGGCUGACACUGACGCUCAGGCACGAAAGCGUGGGGAGCAAACAGG
rnacentral:rRNA from 1 species